AAAAAAAUAAAAAUAAAUUUUUUUUUUUUUUUUUUUUUUUAAUCAUAAUAUUAUCGCAAACCGAAACCUGCGAUGAGGAGCCUGCAGG